AAACAUCACAUUUGACAGAAUAAUCUGAACACUAAAGGGUUAAAGAGAGAGAGAGAAGAGGGAAAAAAACAACAUGGAGACCAAAGUUAGACCAACUUGUUUUUUGUUAUAAAAAACAAAAUAUAGUAAAUCUAAAUAGACUAAAGUAUUGGACUAAACUGGAUUGCCUAUAUUCAAUCAGUGUAG